rnacentral:misc_RNA from 1 species
AGCAGCCGCGGUAAUUCCAGCUCCAAUAGCGUAUAUUAAAGUUGUUGCAGUUAAAAAGCUCGUAGUUGAAUUUCGGGAUCAAUUAAUUGGUCGUGCCUCUGGUACGUACUGAUUUUAUUGGUUUCUCCCUUCUGACGAACCAUGGUGUCAUUAAUUUGGUGUCGUGGAGAAUCAGGACUGUUACUUUGAAAAAAUUAGAGUGUUUAAAGCAAGCUAACGCUUGAAUACAUUAGCAUGGAAUAAUGAAAUAGGACGUUUGAUCCUAUUUUGUUGGUUUCUAGGAUCGACGUAAUGAUUAAUAGGGAUCGUUGGGGGCAUUAGUAUUCAAUUGUCAGAGGUGAAAUUCUUGGAUUUAUUGAAGACUAACUACUGCGAAAGCAUUUGCCAAGGAUGUUUUCAUUAAUCAAGAACGAAAGUUAGGGGAUCGAAGACGAUCAGAUACCGUCGUAGUCUUAACCAUAAACUAUGCCGACUAGGGAUCGGAUGAUGUUAAUUUUUUUAAUGACUCAUUCGGCGCCUU